AAAGAACGGCCUGCGGCACAGGAGGUGGCCACAUGGACUCGCCCGCCGUGGCUAACGGCCCGGGAAACAGAGAAAUCUUUGCCGGAAGGCUGGAGGUUUCCAUUUGUUUUCUUGCUCCCACCAAAGCUGGCCCGCGCGCCUGAGUUCCAAAUCUAAUUUGUUUAUGGAAUAUAUUAGAUCCGAGUCGUGAAUACCACGCUUCAGCACUAAAUUUAAUUUGUUUGCAGGAAAAAUCAUCAACUCAUGCUACAUCUCCUCCGAGAUCCCAGCACCUUCUACACAUUUAUAUGCUCUAAUAUUUCCUCAAGAGUGCCGCUUCUUCAAUAUUUCCACUAGAUUCCAGCGCAAAAAAAAAAAUCCACUAGAUGCCAGAACAAAUAUCUUAAGACACGACCCUUCUUCUCGAAAAAAUGAUCAUGGGAUGUAUACCCACUCAGUUCUACACUGAAACCAAAUAGUCACACGCCCCAUGAGUUAUCCCCUUCAACAUAAUUUGGAUCUCCUCAUUCUCAGAUAACAGUGCUUGAAAUUUUGAUCUUGUGGAAUGUAAAAUUUUCCAAACUGAAAGUAAUUGAAUGCACAUUAUAUAUGUGUUGUCCCAAUGAAUAAUCAACUCGAAAAGGUGUUGUUUUCAUGGAUUCAUUUUAAAGUGUUACAAACAUUAUUUUCAUUUUUACUGAACAUAAUAUGUUCCCCACAUUUGACCAAAAUCAAAAUGUGUCAAGCACAACCAGUCUCAUCUCACCACUAUGGUUAUGGGUUUCGCAUGACUUUAAACAUGAUAGAUUUCACACGUUAACCUAAAAUAAUGGGCAUUGUUUGACUAAUAGACAUAACUACAUAAUGAAACAUUUCAUGGAACC
rnacentral:lncRNA from 1 species